GACGAACGCUGGCGGCGUGCCUAAUACAUGCAAGUUGAGCGCUGAAGGUUGGUACUUGUACCAACUGGAUGAGCAGCGAACGGGUGAGUAACGCGUGGGGAAUCUGCCUUUGAGCGGGGGACAACAUUUGGAAACGAAGGCUAAUACCGCAUAAAAACUUUAAACACAAGUUUUAAGUUUGAAAGAUGCAAUUGCAUCACUCAAAGAGGAUCCCGCGUUGUAUUAGCUAGUUGGUGAGGUAAAGGCUCACCAAGGCGAUGAUACAUAGCCGACCUGAGAGGGUGAUCGGCCACAUUGGGACUGAGACACGGCCCAAACUCCUACGGGAGGCAGCAGUAGGGAAUCUUCGGCAAUGGACGAAAGUCUGACCGAGCAACGCCGCGUGAGUGAAGAAGGUUUUCGGAUCGUAAAACUCUGUUGGUAGAGAAGAACGUUGGUGAGAGUGGAAAGCUCAUCAAGUGACGGUAACUACCCAGAAAGGGACGGCUAACUACGUG
rnacentral:rRNA from 1 species